CAGUAGCCGCGGGAAUACAGAGGGUGCGAGCGUUAAUCGGAUUUACUGGGCGUAAAGCGUGCGUAGGCGGCUUCUUAAGUCGGAUGUGAAAUCCCUGAGCUUAACUUAGGAAUUGCAUUCGAUACUGGGAAGCUAGAGUAUGGGAGAGGAUGGUAGAAUUCCAGGUGUAGCGGUGAAAUGCGUAGAGAUCUGGAGGAAUACCGAUGGCGAAGGCAGCCAUCUGGCCUAAUACUGACGCUGAGGUACGAAAGCAUGGGGAGCAAACAGGAUUAGAUACCCGUGUAGUCCCUGUCUCUUAACA
rnacentral:rRNA from 1 species